UACGGAGGGUGCAAGCGUUGCUCGGAAUUAUUGGGCGUAAAGGGUAGGUAGGUGGUCUCGUUUGUCUGGGGUGAAAGCCUUGGGCUUAACUCAAGAAGUGCCCCAGAAACGGCGAGACUAGAGUCCUAGAGAGGGUCGUGGAAUUCCCGGUGUAGCGGUGGAAUGCGCAGGAUAUCGGGAGGAACACCGUGGCGAAGGCGGCACUCUGGGACGGUACUGACGCUGAGACGCGAAAGCGUGGGGAGCAAACAGG
rnacentral:rRNA from 1 species